GUGUCAGCCGCCGCGGUAAUACGUAGGGUCCGAGCGUUGUCCGGAUUUAUUGGGCGUAAAGAGCUCGUAGGCGGCUCGGUAAGUCGGAUGUGAAAACUCGGGGCUCAACCCCGAGACGCCAUCCGAUACUGCCGUGGCUUGAGUCUGGUAGGGGAACACGGAAUUCCUGGUGUAGCGGUGAAAUGCGCAGAUAUCAGGAGGAACACCAAUGGCGAAGGCAGUGUUCUGGGCCAGUACUGACGCUGAGGAGCGAAAGCGUGGGUAGCAAACAGGAUUAGAUACCCCCGUAGUCC
rnacentral:rRNA from 1 species